CUCUUCCCUCCCUGCUCGCUUUAGACCCCGGCGCGGGCCCGUUGCUGACGUCAUGCGCGCGCCGGAAGUGCCUUCCUCAGAGCGGCGACGAGCGGACUACCACAUUUACCGAGACUCCCGGCGGCCCAGAGUUGUGGCUCACAGAAGAGAUGAAAUGUGGUCUGAGGGACGACAUGACUACGAAAGGCUUCCAAGAGAACGAGCACCAACUCGAAAUCACCCCAGUGAUGGCUACCGUAGAGUAGUUAAUAUUGUGACAAAGAAACCACCACUGCUAGACAGACCGGUUGAAGGAAGCUACAAUAGAUAUUACAGUCAUGUUGAUUACCGAGACUAUGACGAGGGCCGCAGUUUUUCUCAUGAUCGAAGAAGUGGUCCACCUCACAGAGGAGAUGAAUCUAACUAUAAGUGGACAAGAGAUGAUCAUUCUGGAAGUCGUCAGCCUGAAUACAGGGACAUGAGAGAUGGCUUUAGAAGAAAAAGUUUCCACGCUUCCCAUUAUGUGAGAGACCGGUCUCCUCACAAAAGAGAAAAUCCGUUUUUAAGAGAAUCACCUGUUGGCAGAAAGGAUUCUCCACACAGCAGAUCUGGCUCCAGUGUCAGUAGUAGAAGCUACUCUCCAGAAAGAAGCAAAACUUACUCUUUCCAUCAGUCUCAACAUAGAAAACCCGUGCGUGCUGCUGCUUCCUACAAACGGCAGAAUGAAGGAAAGCCAGCAAGAGAUAAAGAGAGACCUGUUCAGUCUUUGAAAACAUCAAGAGACACUUCACCCUCAAGUUCUUCAACAGUUCCUUCAUCAAAGGUGUUAGACAAACCCAGUAAGCUAACUCAAAAGGAACUUGCUGAGGCUGCAAGCAAGUGGGCUGCUGAGAAGCUAGAGAAGGCAGAUGAAAGUAACUUACCUGAAAUUUCUGAGUAUGAGGCAGGAUCCACAGCACCAUUGUUCAUUGACCAGUCAGAAGAACCUGAGUCAAAUGCAGCAGAUGGCAUAGAAUUAUUUGAAGAUAGUCAGCUAAACAGCCGCUCCAAAGCAAUAGCAUCAAAAACCAAAGAGAUUGAACAGGUUUACCGACAAGACUGUGAAACUUUCGGGAUGGUUGUGAAAAUGCUGAUUGAAAAAGAUCCUUCAUUAGAAAAGUCCAUACAGUUUGCAUUGAGACAGAAUUUACAUGAAAUAGAGGACAAGAUGGAAGGAACCUGGAUCCCUUCGUGACCAAAUGGAGUAUUGAACUGUUGCAUGAAAGAGGAAUCAAUGUUUUUAUUGUUUAAGCCACAUGAUUGGUUUCUUGUUAGCAGCUCACUUUUGCUCAAAUAAAUGAUAAUGGAGGGUUGACUUCACUGAAGUUGCCCUUGGCUGGUGGCACCAGUCCCACAUUUCCAUUGUAAUAAUUGAUCUUGGAGUAAUGGGGACUGGUUGUAUAAAAAGGCUUUGCCAGUCCACUGAAUUUGUUUCAAGUCAUAUUUGAAAUGUCACUUGAUGAGAAAUAUUAAAGCCUCAUGCAUAUAUGUAUAGUAGUAGAGACAGCUUGAAUCUAUAGCAUGCUGUUUUUUUGAGCUCUGUUCCCACAGAUUAAUGGUGUUCUAAUGAUAGACCAUUAUCAUUAAAAUUGUAUAACGUUUUAUGCUGUCAAUCGUGUGUGUAUGUAUGAAAUGGUAGCGGUUUUCUGAAAUAUAUACAUUCAAGAACAUGUAAAAUAACCACAACAUAUAUAGACACUUGCUGCAAGAGGACGUCUGGGGUAUGCCCCCACUGCCCAGGUUACCCAUGUGCUAUCUGUGUUUCCUGGUUAGAAUACAUACAAGAUGGGGUGGAGGGAAAAGUGUCAGAGCUGCCCUGGCCAAUGGCCAUGUGGCCUUCAGGACUGCAUCUUAAGGGAAAGCUCCCUUGGCCCAAGGCCCAUUUCUGGGGUCACCUGUUGGCACCCUCACUUACGAACUUUCUGGCUGAGACCCUGCCACUGUCUUUGAGGGGCACUGAAGGUUCACUGAGAGCAUGAGGCCGGGCAAGCUGCCUGAGAAGGGGAGAGGAUCCAAUGACUGUCCCUACAUCCUCCAAGUGGGAAGAGUACAUCCUUCGUGACCAAACUCCUGAGAUGGACACUGGCCCAAUGUCUGCAACACCUUCAAGUCGUCCAGCUCCAGCCACCUGGGCACCUCCCUGGCACCAGAUCCAGAUGCCCUCUGCCCACAGCCUGUGCUUGUCUGAUUGGACUGAAUGUUAGCUGUGCCACGGGCCGUGCGACGGGCACCCCACCACUGCAGUCCACGGAUGUCACGGGUGGUGUUCCAUUGCUGCAGGGCUGCUCAGUUGAGAGGUGAUCUUGGGUGAACAUCGGAGCAACCUGAUCGAUCCCAGGGCCCUGGAGAGACGGAGCGCUCUCAGCAUCUCCUCCUCCCAGCAUCUCCUCAUCCCCGGGGCAGCUUGAUGGCCAUGGCCUUCCUGCCCCGCCUCUGUGCUGAGGUGGGAAUGUUGGCGAAGGGAUAACGUCCUUGACUGCUAAGCUAGGAGGAUACCUUUUCCAUUGAUUUUCACAGAGUGAAAGAGGGAGGAGUAAGGGAGCGAAGAAAAUUGAUGUGAAAGAGACACACCGACUGGGUGCUUCCCGCAAGCGCAAGCGCCCUGACCAGGGGAGGGGAGUGAACCCGCAACCCAGACUGUGGAGAAUCCUAAAGGCUGAUGGGAAGGAGCCUGAGCAGACAGGCCGGGCUGUGACUCACCGAUGUGCUCGCCGCAGGUCUCGCAGUACUCCGCAUACAGAGACUCGAAGCAGCCACAGCAGAACGGGCGGCCGUCCUUCAUGAUGUACCUCUGCCCUCCCAGGACCGUCUCACACUCAAGGCAGCAGAAGUGCUUCAUGUGCCAGUGGCGACCCUCCGCUUCCGUGCACUCAUCCGCAAAAAUUAUCUGUAAGAGGAAUGUGAGAGCAGAGGAUGACAGGAAAUACUGUGAGCUAUUUCCAAGGCCACGUCGCUUCGAUGGCUAACCUUGUUUCUUACAGCCCCAAGCUUUCCUCUACCACGCUUUAGCUAUAAAACAAGAGCAGUCAUUGAAAAUGUGAAAAAAGAGAACCUAAGUGCUUGUUCAAACUUUAUAAAUGUCCAACCCCUAUGCUGUCCACCUGAAACCAAUAUAAUAGUGAAUGUCAACCAUAAUUGAAAAAUAAAACAGAUUUCUUCAUUGGAGAUAA